GAUGAACGCUGGCGGCGUGCCUAAUACAUGCAAGUCGAGCGAACGGACGAGAAGCUUGCUUUUCUGAUGUUAGCGGCGGACGGGUGAGUAACACGUGGAUAACCUACCUAUAAGACUGGGAUAACUUCGGGAAACCGGAGCUAUUACCGGAUAAUAUUUUGAACCGCAUUGUUCAAAAGUGAAAGACGGUCUUGCUGUCACUUAUAGAUGUAUCCGCGCUGCAUUAGCUAGUUGGUAAGGUAACGGCUUACCAAGGCAACGAUGCAUAGCCGACCUGAGAGGGGGAGCGGACACACUGGAACUGAGACACGGUCCAGACUACUACGGGAGGCAGCAGUAGGGAAUCUUCCGCAAUGGGCGAAAGCCUGACGGAGCAAAGCAGCGUGAGUGAUGAAGGUAUUCGGAUCGUAAAACACUGUUAUUAGGGAAGAACAGAUGUGUAAGUAACGGUGCACAUCUUGACGGUACCUAAUCAGAAAGCCACGGCUAACUACGUG
rnacentral:rRNA from 1 species